GAUGAACGCUGGCGGCGUGCCUAAUACAUGCAAGUCGAGCGAACGGACGAGAAGCUUGCUUCUCUGAUGUUAGCGGCGGACGGGUGAGUAACACGUGGAUAACCUACCUAUAAGACUGGGAUAACUUCGGGAAACCGGAGCUAAUACCGGAUAAUAUUUUGAACCGCAUGGUUCAAUAGUGAAAGACGGUCUUGCUGUCACUUAUAGAUGGAUCCGCGCUGCAUUAGCUAGUUGGUAAGGUAACGGCUUACCAAGGCAACGAUGCAUAGCCGACCUGAGAGAGUGAUCGGCCACACGGGAGCGGAGACACGGUCCAGACGCCUGCGAGAGGCAGCAGUAGGGAAUCUGCGGCAAUGGGCGAAAGCCUGACGGAACAACGCCGCGUGAGUGAUGAAGGUCUUCGGAGCGUAAAACUCUGUUAUGAGGGAAGAACAUAUGUGUAAGUAACUGUGCACAUCUUGACGGUACCUAAUCAGAAAGCCACGGCUAACUACGUG
rnacentral:rRNA from 1 species